rnacentral:rRNA from 1 species
UGCGGCAACGCAAACCAGCUCGGAGACGCUGAUGGGAGCCGCGGGAAGAGUUUUCUUUUCUCUGUAAGGAGAUCGAGUCCCUGGAAUGGGUUCACCCCGAGAUAGGGACGGUGGCUCCGUAGAGCAGUGCGGCUCUUGCGCUGUCCGCAGCGCUCCUGUCGGCCCUUGAAAAUCCGAGUGAGGGA